GAAAGGCUACCACAGUGAAACAGCAGCUGCCGAGAAAAUUUAGUUUUUUACAGACAGCAACGCCAUUAAGGCGUCUUGCUCCAUUCGUAGUGUUGUUGUGUUCCUUGAGCUAUUUUCUCAUUUAAGUUAUUGACUCCUAUCCAACUAUACAAUGGCUCACUUCUAAUUUACCUUGAAUAAGUCAUGGGAGACUAAUGAACGUUUGAACAAAUCGGAAAAUCAAUCACGGUGCAAGCGAAAAAUUUCAGCGUUGUGAGCAUUCAACAUCGAUCGAUUCUAUGCUGACCAGGAAGAUUGUGAAUUAUUGUGAGAAAAGGGCAUAGCUCCCCGGAUUAUGAAGGAAAUGAUGGUGAUGAAAUUUGUGCAGACUAUGAUGAUUUUACUGGUUUAUUUUAAUUGUGACGUGAUAUAUUUUAAAAAGAAUAUCAAUAAACAUUAAAGUGGAAAGAGCUCUCACAGAGUUCACAUAAGCGAAAUCAAAACGAAGGAAAUAAUCAAAAUAUUGAUCUUCAAAUCUUCAACGAAUACACUGUCAGCGAAAGGGCGCGUGAUCGGGCCUUCCCUUGCUUGAACCAAAUCAUAUCGAAAGGGACAAAUUCUGAAGGCAGAACAAUCGAUCGACCAACAGGAUUAUCUGAUCUUACAGCAUCCGGGGUUCGAGUGCUUUGGUUACACUUUGCACUUUCGUUACACGCUACGUGUUUGUUGGUAUACAUACGAUCAACCUAAGGAACUAGUGAGGCGCGCGAUAAGGCCCGAGAGGGCAAAGGUGUGCGCGAGUGAGUGUGUGUGUGUGUGUGGGAAGGGGGCGCGGACGUGCGGACUAUUAUUGUUCGACCUACGAGGCGAACUCUAUAUAAGUUGUGGAGGCCUCCGACGUACACUCAAGUUGGACAAAGCAGUCGCGCUCAAGCGAUUGGACAGAUCAGAUCGUCUUGUUAGUGACUUCGCCGCCUAGAUAGUGUGUAAGUGCAGUUGAGUGAGGCGCAGCAGCAGCAGCAGUGAAUAAAAAUAGUUACAUUAUUUGCCUACACUCGUUAGGAAACGGUUGUGUAGAUGAACUAUAAACACUUAGUGAAUUGUGCCAGACAGUUUUAAGUUACUCGAUUUGUUUUCAUUUGACUUGGUCCCAUCUCUGGUGAAUAUUUUCUUGAGCGGAACGAGAAAAACAACUUUUUAAAAAGGGGCGCAAAACAAUUUUUCUUCUUGUGGCUUAGGCCGUUGUAUGGAGCGUGAAAAAUCAACAACAUCAAAAGGGGACGAACCGGGCCUGACCGGCAAA